rnacentral:sRNA from 1 species
GAACAACGUCGGCUGCUCUAAAGUUUGGAUCAUGGAGGGCUCCGUCUGCACAAAUCCUAGACCCGAAAGCUCUACACAUUCUGAAGAAAGUACAAUCGAACCAGUUGUACCACUAAGUACAACUCUGGCCACUAACAAGCUUCCUCGAUUUUCAACUCCUGCUAUCGGCCAUUCAAAUAAUAAUUCCAGUAAAAAUUUCACAUUGAAUUUGGCUGAGAAGCUCUCAGAGAUACUAUCGGAUGACGAUAAAACUGAUGAAUUCCUGGAGAACUCUCAUCAAUCCGAAACUUCGAAGGACGACGUGAUUAAAGAUUUGCUCGAAGAAAUGGUACAAACGGUUGCCAAUUCUAAUAAACCUCCGAUUCUUUUGAGCACAACUCUCGCAAAUGUUGGUGUUCCCCGCUUUUCAACUCCCAUCAAACCACAACAUGCAUUGAAUCGAGAUUUCACGAUGAACAUGACAGAAAUGAUUUCCGAAAUCGAUUCGAAUUAUGAAGGUUAUGAAUUAUUCGACGAUUCCUCCAAUGACUGUACCACCUUGACCCCCAACUGCCAGGAGGUCGAAUCGUCAUUUUAUCGAGCACUUUCUGAAGCAGCUAGUUCCAUUGUUCCAUAUCAGGAAGGAAAGAGAAGAAGCUCGAGACGUUUGAGUACUCUGAGUAGUCUCAAGGAAACUGUCAAAGUAGAGCCUGCAGUUUCAAAAUUAACGAAGAGAAGACGGCUCACGUAAGAAUUUUUCUGUGACGAGAAUUCUGCCCGUUCAGAGAUCGCUGCAGAUCGAAUUAUCAUAACUUCAAUUUCUUUUUUAAAAAACGGAUUUAUUAGCAUGAAUAUAUUCAAAAUUUCAAUAAUCCGAAUCACCGUCGAAGUUAUGUACUUAAGAGUUUCAUUAUUUUUCAGACCGGUUGAAUGUUCAAGUGAAACUAUGAUUCCACACUCCCAACCAAUACCACUGGAUACUUGCUCAGAUCAACCCAUUUUUCCCAAUUCGACACACAAUGCUAUUCAAUCUGAUGGAUUCUCAUAUGAACAACCUAUUUGUGAAUUUGGAGAUAGUCAAUUGUUUUUGUCAGCAAAAAGUCUUUGCACUGAGCCGAACAGUUCUAUUGCUGAGGAUGUGAAGCCGGUUUUGACAGUUUCGGAUUCCGACAUAACAGCUUCCAACAGGAAUAAUAUCGAUGAUCAUAAUCGAGUCAUAGAACUGUCAACUGAGGUAUGAUUUGAGUAAUUUCCUUUAUUUUUAAUUUGUAAAUCAUCACAACUGACAAGGGAAGUCUUUGAGGGGGUCCCUAGAUUUGGGAUUCUCAUGUUGAAAUUCCAAUAGAAGAGUAUUCCAGAUGAUCCCUCCAAAAAAUUUAGCUGCCCAGGUUGGGUUUCAGCAAAGUUAUGACGUUUUGAAAAUUCGGUCUGAAAUCGGUUGAUUUGUAUACUAAAUCAACGGUCGGCAUCGGCCCGGGACACCAUAGUUGUCACCAGGCGCGUGGUGUGAGCAAAUCAUCGGUUGGUUGGUUGAGUGGUAACGAGAUGGGUUCUGGUGGUGAAGGUUGUGGGUUCGAUCCCUUGCGUUAUAAAGCUUUUUUUAAAAGUUUUUACUGUAUUUUAAAAACAGUAAAAAGUGUGAUUGAAAUUACUUUUACUGACUUUCUCCACCUUUUUGAGUUUCUUAUAAACGUUUGCAUCACAUUUUCUCACAUUUUUUGAAUUAAAAAAAUUUCAAAAAAAUCAAAAUUUUCAUCAUCAAAGUCAUGAAAAAAAAUAGAAAUCUCAGAUUUUCAGAUAACUAUAAAAAACCCACCGAAAGAUUAUUUUCAUUAUUAAACUCAUGGUUAAAACGUAUUUCGCGAUAAACUGGGCCGUGACCGACGGAAAGGGCCACUGGUGUAAACCGCCGUUUUUGUUCGAAUUUUUUUUUAGUAAUUUCACCGUUUUUUUGUUGUUUUUACUUAUUGAAUUAAAGGUAAAUGCCGUUCCGUGCUGAUCUUAUUGUUGGAGGACUGGUGGAAGAGUUUGGACAUGAAUAUAAUCCAAGUUUCAUGAGCCGCGAGGAACAAAAAAUUCUCGAACGUGUUCGAAGAAUAUUGCGUGAUGGAAAAACUCAUGAGCUGAUCGUGUAUAGUGAGGAUGAAGAGGAAAUUGUCGGUGGAAUAGUAGAGGAUGAAAAUUGGACAGCAGACGAUGAUGGUCCCACUACUUAUGCUCUUCCGGACAAAGUAAAUUUCUCGGGAAAUCUAGUAGAUGUGGAGACUGUGAGUUUUCAACUAUGUCUAAAAAGUUUGUAAAAGAAAGACGUUUUUACGGUUUUCGAAAGCCACCGUAUUUUUAUAAAUGCUACCAACUUAUGUGUAUGUUUUGAAUUGUAAUACUGUUAUCAAUACAGGUUGAAAAGGCUAUUGAAUUUAUGAUGGAUACAAAACAUAACAAGUUCCUCACAAUGUCCAGUGUACAGCAUCGUUACCGUUUUAUCAAGUCAGAAAAGGAUAUGAAGAAGCUCCGAAAGUUCGCUAGAAAUCGUCAGUUUUCUUUUUCCAUAUUCUCGGUGCACAACUAUUUAUUUGUUUUAGAAAAAGUCAAUUGUUCUCGAGCUUCCAGCUUCGCAAAACUGUCAGAACUUUUGAGAGCAAAAGUUUUUGAGACAAUGGAAGCAAGUGAGUGUUUGAUUGCAAAUUAAAUUUGCAUGCUUUAUUUUUUAGAAGUUCAAAUCGACAAGCUCACACUUCGACGAAUGGCAGUUGAUCUAAAUGAAGAGUUUGUGCACAUUGACGAUUUCAAGGCUUCAGACGAUUGGCUCGCAAAAUGGAAGAAGUCAAAUGGUUUGGUAUCUCGUCAUAUCACUACUUUUGUGACCAAAGCUAGUUUCGCAAAUAAAGAAAAGACAGAAGAAGCGGCAAAGAAGUAUGUUGAUGAUAUGAAACUAGAACUGCAAACGCUCGAUCCAAAUACAGCUUUCAACUGUGAUCAGUGCGGAUUCACGAAGGAGCAAUAUUGCAAAAGGUUCGCCUUGAAAAGAGCAACUUUUAUGAAAUAAACUUUUCAGAACUCUCGCACCGAGGGGGGUGAAACGUGUUGAGAGACUUGUCCAAUCAAAAGAUGCCUUAUCUCACUCGUAUACCAUUCUCCCAAUGUUGAGUGUGACGGGAAAGCUCGCUCCAAAACUCUACAUCGUUUUGCAGGUAGAAAAUGCGUAUCAUUCAUUGCAGUCUUCUCAACUUUAACUUUUUCAAAAAGUAAUAUAUUACAGGAAAAAGGAGGCAAGUUUCCCAAGAAAGGUCACUGUUCUCCGUCCAACCUCAUCGUUCGUGCCAACUCCAGUCACAUUAUGACCAAAGAUUUAAUGAGAGAUUGGGUUGAAAGUGCAGUGUGCGAUCCUGCGAUGCCGAAGAAAACCGUUCUUCUCCUUGACUCAUGGCCAGCAUGGAAAAAUGAAAGGGACGUACAAGACGCUGCGCUAUAUGGACACACGGUCCACGUUCGUACGAUUCCACCUGGAGCGACUUCUUUCAUUCAACCUUGUGACAUCUACCUCUUCUGCCCAAUGAAAAACUUCGUCAAAAAAGUUCAAUCCCAUAUCAUCUACGCUGGAAUCGAGUUCAAGCCCCAUGAGCGUGACAAUAUUCUCCGUUUGAUUUCGGCCGUGUACUUCUUUUUCUGUGCACCCAGAUUCGAGACAUGCUGGCAGUACGGUUGGUUCAAAGGAGGCUACAUUGACUCACAUCCAUCUGAAUUCGAGACACCUUCCAAAUACUGUCUCGAAGCUACUGGCAAAUGCAUACUACAAUGCCAAAACGCGGCAUAUGUCCGUUGUCCAUAUUGCAAAAAAUGUAUCUGCUUUCACCAUUGGGUGGGAAGUGGAUUCCCAGCUCACAGAUGCUCCUAAUUCACGAGUUUAUUACUUUUUUUAAAAAUUAACGUUAUGUUCUGUUCGUUCUGCUAAUUUCUUCCGGCGUGUUUUCAAAAUUUUCUGAGAUUUCUAUUUUUUUUUCAUGACUUUGAUGAUGAAAAUUUUGAUUUUUUUUGAAAUUUUUUUAAUUCAAAAAAUGUGAGAAAAUGUGAUGCAAACGUUUAUAAGAAACUCAAAAAGGUGGAGAAAGUCAGUAAAAGUAAUUUCAAUCACACUUUUUACUGUUUUUAAAAUACAGUAAAACUUUUAAAAAAAGCUUUAUAACGCAAGGGAUCGAACCCACAACCUUCACCACCAGAACCCAUCUCGUUACCACACAGGUAAACCGCGUCAUGCGAGCAACUGGUGAAUAACGAACGAACAGCCGCUAACACGCGAAAUGUGAUUGUAAACAACAAAUAAUUUUGUGAAAAAUGUUUUCCACUGAUUUUUAAACUUUCAUAAGGAUCCCCUUAUGAUUCCUCCGAUGUUCCAAUUUUGAGCAAAAGGGUCCCCCCUUAUGGUUGAAAAAAGUUUUUCGCCUAAAUUUUUUUUUUGAAAACUUUUCAAAAUUUGCUCAGAUGUUACAGAAAAUGCAAUGUUUGUAGUUUUUUUUUAGUUUCAAUGUUCUAAACACAAUUUCAGACCAAAACCUGAGGUGUAGUAUGUAGAACACCUAUGUUCAAAAACGCUUUCACUUUGGAUGCUUAUAUCUCCGUGGAAAAAUUUUUUGUGACAAAGCGAUCAACUACAAAGUUGUUUAUUUUAAUCUAAUGUACAACUUUGUAGUUGAACGUUUUUCUUCAAAAAAAUUGGUGGUCGAGAUAGGAACAGAAAAAGAAGUAGAAAAUAAAAGCAUGAAGCUUCCGCAAUUAACACAACUUUAUCUCGACCACCAAUUUUUUUGAUGAGAAACGUUCAACUACAAAGUCGUACAUUAGAUUAAGAUAAUCAACUCUGUAGUUGAUUGCUUUGUCAUAAAAAUUUUUUCCACGGAGAUAUAAGCAUCCAAAGUGAAAGCGUUUUUGAACAUAGGUGUUCUAAUACACUUCAGGUUUUCGUUUGAACUCGUGUUCAGCACAUCGAAACUAAAAAAACAAUCAUUUUUACAUUUUUCUAUAACAUCUGAUCAAAUUAUGAAAAGUUUUCAAAAAAAAAAAUUUCGAAAAAAUUUUAGAAAAUUUUCAUAAGGGGGGAGCCUUUGGAUUUUUUUUCAUAAAAAUCGAAAAAUUUUUUUUUUCAAAAGUUGUCAAAUAUUUAUCAGAUAUUGUAGAAAUAUGUUUACUUGUUCGUUUCAAUAAGUUUUCUUACCAAAUGUGGUGCUUUCGAAAACUAACAAACUGUAAAAACCUCUAUCCCUCUAACAGAUCUACCUGAUAUGCCAGUUUUUCGAAGUCAUGUCCCACAUCGGGCAAGCAAGAUAUCUAAAAAUUGUCAACUACAAACUUUUUUAGUUUGUUAUUGAACAUGUUUCAUACUUAAUAGUUUUUUGCUUUCUGUGCAGAGUACGGAGAUAUCAUCAGUCAUAAUUAGUGAUAUUUGACUCAUAACUAGGUGCUCCUAUUUGCUCAGCCAUCCAAGAUGGAAAAAAGUUACAAUAAAUAAUUUGUCAAUCACUUUAUUCACAACAACUUUUUAGUUGACAAGUUUUUCAUAUUUAAGCUGCCUGCGGAGGUAGAACAUUUUGGAAGUACUGACUUUCUAUGAACAAGCCAAAUUGACUGUUGUAUUUUUUUGCCCAGGAGUGCGAUUGAGCUAUGAAAACUGUGGAAAAUACUAAAAUAUACAUUUCCUACACAAGUAUUGCAGUAUUGAAAUUUUUUGGAAAAAAAAUUUUUCCCAAAAUUUUUUCAUAAGGGGGGACCCUUAUCAAAAUUUUAAAAUCAGUGGAAAAUAUUUUUAAUUAAAUUUUUAUUGAACUUAACUUUUUUUCAAUUAUAUGUUGGUUUCAAUCACAAAUCACAUUUACGACUCAAAGUGAUUUUUUCUUUUCUACGACUUCAAUAUAAGAGCGAGAAACCAUUUCAAAAGAAGCUCCAAACGCAAAUGGCAACGACACUCCGAAAUAACGGUUGCGCGCCCUCUUUACCGUAAAUCCUCCUCAUUUUCGAAAUUAUUUUUUCACCAUUUUUUUCUUUUUCUUCGAUUUUUCAUAGUUUUCUUCAGCAAUUCUUUGAUUUUUUUGGCAAAAAUAAUUAUUUUCCGUAAAUAUACUCGUGUUUCAGCAUAUCCGACGUUGAGGUACCGAUUCAUCCGCGGAUCCGACGCGGAAUCCAUAGAAAUGGAGAGACUCGUCUCUGGAGUUUGGAUGGGAGUGUGCUGCUGAUUCUGAAAAUUCGAGUUGAUAAAAUUUUGGGUUAAAAAAUUAAUGAUUACAUUGACAAAUUGAGCACAAAUUUCCGACUUCCGGUCUUUAAUUGUAGCAUGGAUCUCGACUUAAUGGACGAAUUCUCGGAUCAGAGUCUAGCAUCAGGGCAAUCAAACUGCGAAGAUCUGUAGAAGUUCCAGCGAAGACAGUCAGAUGGGACAGAAUAAUGUGAUCGACGAUGCUCCACCACCAACACGCUCACGUGGACUGUGAUAUUUGUCAACUCGACGAUUAUUCAUCACGUAAGAAAAAUAGUUGAUACUUAAUUAAAAACCAUUUUUUGUUUUCAGCGACUUCAACAAUCACCGACUCCUGCCGCCUCGUCGCCUCGGAACGUGUCAUCUGCAUCGACAAACCCGUCCCCAUCCGAAUAAUUUUCUAUUUUUUUUCAAAUUUUAUUUUAUUUUUUUAUAAAAUAAAAAUUUUUAUGAACUAUCAAUUGUUAUUAAGGAACCGCAAAUUUCAAUAUAUGGCGAAUAACGGGGUGCCAGCUAGCUGGGCAUUCGGAGCGUCCUCAUCAUUUACCGGUCCGUUUUUCGCGAGUUCUUCAUCGAAUAGCGGCCCGCGCCUUCACCAAAGCCAUGUACCGUUUUCGCGAAAUAGCGGCCCGUCACCCGACGAAUAUUCGCAUGACGCGGUUUACCUGUGCACUCAACCAACCAACCGAUGAUUUGCUCACACCACGCGCCUGGUGACAACUAUGGUGUCCCGGGCUGAUGCCGACCGUUGAUUUAGUAUACAAAUCAACCGAUUUCAGACCGAAUUUUCAAAACGUCAUAACUUUGCUGAAACCCAACCUGGGCAGCUAAAUUUUUUGGAGGGAUCAUCUGGAAUACUCUUCUAUUGGAAUUUCAACAUGAGAAUCCCAAAUCUAGGGACCCCCUCAAAGACUUCCCUUGUGAGGGAGGUUUUCGUUUUUAAUUAAAGAUUUUGCAGCAUAAGACAAUGGGAGAGUUUCAAUAUAAUUUCGAUGAUGAGGAUACUGUGCUGAUCGGAAAUUAUGAAGAAGUUGGAACAGAAAUUGAUGAGGCAGAUGAACAACAUAAUGAGGAGAACAGUGAAGAUGAUGAAGAGGAUGAGAGCCCGAUUCCUUCAAAAAAGCGAGUUUCGUUUGCUGUUCCACUUGUUCAAAGUCGCUCCAAACAAAAGGAUGAAAUGAAUAAAGUUCAUAUCAUUAAAUGCCAUUUUGAUGUGAGUUUCUGAGAACAAAUAAAUAUGAAAAAUCAACAUUUUCUUCCCGUUUAGAAGUGUAACAAAUCGUACAAUUGGCGCAAAAAAUACGGUAAACUACGUCUUGUGGAUCACGCCUUCACUCAUGUCCCUCACUUGAAAAUGAAGUGCAAUUUUUGUGAUUACAUGUGCAAAGGAAUUAGAAAUAUUAGGCUUCAUCACAAGAAAAGUCAUCCUGAUGAACAAUUAACGGGAUUUGGUAUCAAAAGGUACUUUGAGAUUCCAAAAAUUAAUGUAUUUGUCUUAUUUUUCAGUGUGGUCCGUACUUCGAAAAAAGGAAAAGACUUGGCGAAGGUUUGGGAUGAAUGUUUUAAAAGUAAGUGAAGUAUAUAUGAAAAAGUUAUAAUUUAAAAUGUUAACUUUCUAGAAAAUCGUGUCCUUCAACAUGGAUCUGGUACCGAUUCAAACCUAUUGCAUUUCUCAAGACAAGACAAAGGAUCUAAAAGAUCACAGAAAUCUAUGGAUUCUGGUGCAAAACAAAAAUUGGAUGAAGCUAGGGACGAGGAUGUGAAGCCAUUUUAGUGAGCAUUAAGUUUAAAACAUUCCGCGUCAUUUUUUUAUUCAGUUUCUUCAGAAUUCGAUGAGCUUCGUCGUCGGGCCGUCUGCUUUUUGUAAAUUGUGUCUCAUGUGUUAUUAUCGUUGAUGUUAUAUUAUGUUGUUUUUAAUGCAUUCUAUGCGACUUUUCUUUUAAUAAUUCUGAAGGUCUUCAUUUUAUCACCGCUUUAAUUUAUAAUUACGACAUGUUGUUUCACUCAAGUUUGAAAAUAUUUCUUGCUAAGACCUACUUUAAAUGUUAAUCGCCGUUUCAUUUGGAACUUUCUUGCUGCUGCCCAUUUUCGAUAUAACUUUUUGAAAGUGGAGCACUCCAGAUAGACUUAAAAUUCUAUUAAUUUAAAUAUGUUCUUACAAGAAUUUUCUAGAUGACCUGCGAUGAUUGGAACAGUUUUAUUCAAGUGAACAUUUAUGGAAAAACCAUAGAAGGACUUCAGCAGCAAGGAGUUGUGUUGGAAACUCUUUUGGUUAGUUUGAUUAAUAAUUUUGAUUUCUCGUUAUACUUUUUUUCCAAAGUACAUAUUUUCAGAACAAUGUCGGCUGCUCCAAGCUUUGGAUUGUGGAGGGAUCCGUGUGCACCAGCUCAACUCCUGAAAGCUCUACAUAUUCUGAAAAACGUACAAUCGAACCAGUUGUUUCACUAAGUACAACUCUGGCCACUAACAAGCUUCCUCGAUUUUCAACUCCUGCUGUCGGCCAUUCAAAAUAUAAUUCUGCAAAAAAUUUCACAUUGAAUUUGGCUGAGAAGCUAUCGGAGAUUCUAUCGGAUGACGAUAAAACUGAUAAAUGCCUGGAGAACUCUUAUCAAUCCGAAACUUCCAGGGAAGACGUGAUUCAGGAUUUGCUCGAAGAAAUGGUACAAACUGUUGCCGAUGUUGAUCAAGCUCCGAUUCUUUUGAGCACAACUCUCGCAAAUAUUGGUGUUCCCCGCUUUUCAACUCCCAUCAAACCACAAAAUGGUUUGGAUCGAAAGUUUACAAUGAACAUGACAGAAAGAAUUUCCGAAAUUGAUUCGAAUUAUCUUGGUUAUGAAGUACUCGACGAUUCCAACAAAAUUUUGACCGCCAACUGCGAGGAAGUCGAAAUGUCGUUGUGUGAGAACAUUCCUGGUGUCAACAAUGCCAGAACUUUCUCAAAUACGCCCUACGACGAUUUUCUUAAUAUUUAUUCGACUCCAAAAAAUCCAAAAUCGAAUUCCAGUGUUCCAUAUCAGGAAGGAAAGAGGAGAAGCUCGAGACGUUUGAGUACUCUGAGUAGUCUCAAGGAAACUGUCAAAAUAGAGCCUGCAGUCUCAAAAUCAACGAAGAGAAGUCGGCUCGCGUAAGUUUUUUUUUUCGUUGCGAGCUUUCUGAAUUUUCGAAGUUCGUUUGGAGAAAAUGUAAUUUCUUUCAAAAUGAUAAAUAUGGGUUUUUUUACUAACUGUAUGUCUAAAAAGCUCAGGUUCAAAUUUUAGAUGCAUCUAAACUUUAAGCAGAACUCAUGUCGAUUAAAAAAAAAGUUCCAUUAUUUAAAAAAAACUUUUUUUGGUAUCGAAAGGACUAAAGUUAUAAAUAUACUCAAAACUCCUAACGAUUCCAAUCACCGAUAGUUAUUUACUUAAGAAUUUCGUUAUUUUCAGGCCGAUUCAAAUUUUAAGUCAAACUGUGCGUCCUAAUAUUGAACAUACAUUUCCUGUUUCUACAUCAGCUAUUCAAUCAGAUGGUUUUUCGUACGAACAUCCAAUUAAUGAAUAUGGAGAUAAUGAAUCAUUUUCAUCAGCAAAAAGUCAUUGUGAUGAGCCCAGUUUUUGUAAUGCUGUCGACUUGAAGCCAGUUCUGAAAGUUUUGAAUUCUGGAAGAACAGUUUUGACUGGAAGCAUUAUCAGUGAUCAACCUCCAGUCAUAGAACUGUCAAGAGAUGUAAUGUUUAAAAAUCGAAUUUGAAAUAAUCACAACUUGUUGAGUUAUCCGUUUUCAUUAAUGAAAUUGCAGCAUAACAUCGAAGGAGUGUUUCAAAAUAAUUUCGUUGACGUCGAGGAUACUAUGUUGAUUGAAAACUAUGAAGAGGUGGGAGCCGAAAUCGUUGAAGUAGAUGAUCAAGAUCAGUAUGAGGUUAUCAGUGAAGAUGAUGAAAAGGAAAAGAGCCCGAUUCCUUCGAAAAAUCGAGUUUCAUUUGCAUUUCCACUUGUUCAAAGUCCCAACAAACAAAAAGAAGAAAUGAAUAAAGUUCAUAACAUUAAAUGCCAUUUUGAUGUGAGUUGUUUUGCCGCGUUGUCAGAGAAAAAACUGAAUUUCAAUAAAAAGUCGCAUAGAUAUAAUGUGUUUCAAUCAAUAAUCUUUUCAGAACUGUAAUCGAAAAAUUCACUGGAAGAUUCGUUAUGGAAAACUUAGACUGGUCGAUCAUGCACUAUCACAUCAAGAGGAAAAAUCCAUUGACUGCCAGAAAUGUGAAUAUUCAUGCCAGACAACUCGACAAAUGCGUUAUCACUACAAAAAGAUUCAUGCAAAUCUGAAAAUGGAAGGCUUCGGAAUUCUCAAGUGAGAUUUUUUAAAACUAACCGUUUGAAAACUGAUAAACCCCUCUUGUAGCAUUCCUCUUCAAAAUACCAAAUUCUCAGAUGUAUGGAAUAAAUGUUUUGGAGGUACAUUAUUCUAAUUAUUUAGAGAUUACAUGCUAUUCAAAUUCCAGAUCAACUGAAAACGAUCGGACCCGUUAGAAAAGCUGAACGAACUCCUCGUCGAAAACUCAAAAGUAUUCGCUUAUAGAAAACCAAAAUCUCUUCUAGAGUACAAGCGGAAGAUGUGAAGAUGUUUUUGUAAGCUCCAUAACUGCUCAUAUCACUAAUUUCAAAUCCAGUUUUAACAGAAUUUAAUGAGCAUCACGACGACACCCUCAUGUACAAUUAUUAUCAUGUUCUAAUUAUUUUGUAGUUUUACAGAAAUAAAAUACAGUGUUUUUUCAGUUAAUUGUGUUUUUUUUUUUUGGAUUAAUCGUUCUUUUGACGAAUCAAACAUGAUAUUUUCACAAUUAUUUAGAGUCAAAAAUGUAGUUUUUAUAAAUGUAAAUGUUAAAAAUUAUUUCAAAAAAAGAAAUGCUGUAUGCAACAAAAUUUAAAAACUAAUUGUAAGUAAAUACAGUAUUAUAUUUCUUCCUACCGUAUACUUUCAAGGCACAUUAUACUUUUGUCAAAGGUCUCACAACGAUCAGGUCUUUCUUCAUUUCUAGAUUUGUCGGAAGUAUUUUGUUUCGUUUCCGCGUUUUAGUUCCUGUUCUUUUUGUAUUUUAACCAGUAGAUGAAUAAAGACUGUUUUAAGCCUGAUAUUUAUCAUCAUGAUAACAAACUUUCAAUUUCUUCACUAUUCAUUGCGAUGAAUUUAUGUAAAUAACGGUUGUCGAUACGCCUGAGAACAUGUUUUUGGACAUUUUUUUAAUUCUUGAUGUUUUCAUGGUAUAUUUUUCAGAUGACCUGCGAUGACUGGAACAGUUUUAUUCAAGUGAACAUUUAUGGGAAAACUAUAGAAGGUCUUCAGCAACAGGGAGUUGUGUUGGAAUCUCUUUUG